rnacentral:rRNA from 1 species
GAUGAACGCUGGCGGCGUGCUUAACACAUGCAAGUCGAACGGAAAGGCCCUGCUUGCAGGGUGCUCGAGUGGCGAACGGGCGAGUAACACGUGGGUGAACUGCCCCUUACUUUGGGAUAAGCCUGGGCAACUGGGUCUAAUACUGGAUAGGACCAUGCUGUAGGUGGUGUGGUGGAAAGAUUAGUUUCGGUGAGGGAUGAGCUCGCGGCGUAUCAGCUUGUUGGUGGGGUAAUGGCCUACCAAGGCUUAGACGGGUAGCCGGCCUGAGAGGGUGGACGGCCGCAUCAGAACUGAAAGGCAGGCAGGAGUCCGGCGUGUUGCAGCAUGGGCGAAUAUUGGACAAAGGGCGCAAGCGUGAUGCAGCAACGCCGUGUGGUGGUUGACGGCCUUUGGGUUGUAAGCACCUAUCAGCCAUGACGAAGCCCUUGUGGGAACGGUAGUGGUAAAAGAGGCACCGGCAAACUAGGU